UACGUAGGCAGCUAGCGUUGUUCGGAGUUACUGGGCGUAAAGAGUGCGUAGGCGGUGCUCCAAGUCUGGUGUGAAAUCUCCCGGCUUAACCGGGAGGGUGCGCCGGAAACUGGGGUGCUGGAGUGUGGGAGAGGUAAGCGGAAUUCCAGGUGUAGCGGUGAAAUGCGUAGAUAUCUGGAGGAACACCGGUGGCGAAGGCGGCGUUCUGGACUGUUUCUGACACUGAGGAACGAAAGCCAGGGGAGCAAACGGG
rnacentral:rRNA from 1 species